rnacentral:ncRNA from 2 species
AAUCGUGCUCCGGGGUCGGUGCAAGUCCGAGCCGGCGGUGACAGUCCGCGACCCGCUGCAGUUGCAGCGGUUGAUCUGGUGAAACUCCAGAACCGACGGUGAAAGUCCGGAUGGGAGGCAGCACGGAC